UACAGAGGGGGCAAGCGUUGUUCGGAAUUACUGGGCGUAAAGGGCGCGUAGGCGGCCUGUUAAGUCGGACGUGAAAUCCCCGGGCUCAACCCGGGAACUGCGUCCGAUACUGGCAGGCUUGAAUCCGGGAGAGGGAUGUGGAAUUCCAGGUGUAGCGGUGAAAUGCGUAGAGAUCGGGAGGAACACCAGUGGCGAAGGCGGCAUCCUGGACCGGUAUUGACACUGAGGCGCGAAAGCCAGGGGAGCAAACGGG
rnacentral:rRNA from 1 species